rnacentral:rRNA from 1 species
AGUCAACCUACCCUAUGGACGGGAAUAAUCUCGGGAAACUGAGGAUAAUUCCAGAUAGAACACUAUGCCUGGAACGGUUUGUGUUCCAAAUGAUUUAUCGCCGUAGGAUGGGACUGCGUCCUAUCAGUUUGUUGGUGAGGUAAUGGCCCACCAAGACUAUUACAGGUACGGGCUCUGAGAGGAGUAGCCCGGAGAUGGGUACUGAGACACGGACCCAGGCCCUAUGGGGCGCAGCAGGCGAGAAAACUUUGCAAUGUGCGAAAGCACGACAAGGUUAAUCCGAGUGGUUCCUGCUAAAGGAACCUUUUGACGGUCCUAAAAACACCGUUGAAUAAGGGGUGGGCAAGUUCUGGUGUCAGCCGCCGCGGUAAAACCAGCACCUCAAGUGGUCAGGAUGAUUAUUGGGCCUAAAGCAUCCGUAGCCGGCUCUGUGAGUUUUCGGUUAAAUCUGUGCGCUCAACGUACAGGCUGCCGGGAAUACUGCAGAGCUAGGGAGUGGGAGAGGUAGACGGUACUUGGUAGGAAGGGGUAAAAUCCUUUGAUCUAUUGAUGACCACCUGUGGCGAAGGCGGUCUACCAGAACACGUCCGACGGUGAGGGAUGAAAGCUGGGGGAGCAAACCGGAUUAGAUACCCGGGUAGUCCCAGCUGUAAACCAUGCAAACUCAAUGAUGCAUUGGCUUGAAGCCAAUGCAGUGUU